UUGAACUCACAAUUUUGCUUCACCCGAUAUAAUCGCCGAUUUUCGACGAAACCCAUCCUUUCUCCUACUAGCAAAAUCACACACAAAUACAUAAAUUAUAUGUAUCUCCAGUUUUCUCAAAAACCGUGCGUCAGAUCUGAAAUUCGUCAGCGCUAAUGGUUUCAGAAUAGUCGAACCAUUGAAAACGAGCUAUUGGAGUGCUAUGAACGGAGUUCGAUACGCACCAGAAGCCAUCUCCACUGAUCGGCCUCUCCGGAAAAUCGGAGUUACUAUUCGCUUUAAGUGAUUAGUAAUGAUCGCGUAACUUCUCCAUUCUAACUCAUUUUCUGCAACAAAGAG
rnacentral:lncRNA from 1 species